GGCACAGUUUUCGCUAAGCAAUCCUUACCGGUAACCAACGGCGGUUGCCCCAUCUACGACAGAGACGUCGC
ncrna:unclassified sequences narK RNA